UAAGGACGCUCUCACUCGCCUGCCUGCACACUUACCUGCUCGACACCUUUGCUUCUACGCUUAAAAACGAUCAGUGAGGAACUCUGUGCCCUGGCUGCUGCCCCCUCUGCGUAUUGUUAGCCCACUGUCCUACCGACUGACCUGACAGUCACUUGGCUCCGUAAUACAUCAAUUUGUCCAGCCGCGUCAUUAUAACAGUCCAGGCCGGCCGUCACCUCGCCUUCGCCCGCUUCAAAACAACCAAUGUCCUGUGAAUUAGACGCCCUCCAAUGCACCGAAGGAGUACUGAAGCGACAGUAACUUCAUAAAGGAAUAGAUGGCGCCACGAGCAGAUGGCACCACUAUAAACACUUGACUGCGCCACAAGUCUUAGACCGACCACCAGGCCC